UCGAUGCCCCACGAACCACGAAUGACCAGCGAACGCGUCCUCCGACAAACCCCGGGCCGGGAGCUGGCCGUGCGCGACCGGCCCCCGGCCCAAACAACAAAACCACGGCGCGGAACGCGCCAAGGAAUCCAAACGUUAUUGUUGUGCCCGCCGUCUCCGGAGACGGAGUGCGGUCGGGGCGACGAGUGACCACAAGAGUAU
rnacentral:rRNA from 1 species